rnacentral:rRNA from 1 species
UGCAAGUCGAACGAUGAAGCUAGAGCUUGCUCUGGUGAAUUAGUGGCGAACGGGUGAGUAACACGUGAGUAACCUGCCCCGAACUCUGGGAUAACUGCUGGAAACGGUAGCUAAUACUGGAUACGACCUACGAAGGCAUCUUCUGUAGGUGGAAAGAAUUUCGGUUCGGGAUGGACUCGCGGCCUAUCAGCUUGUUGGUGAGGUAAUGGCUCACCAAGGCGACGACGGGUAGCCGGCCUGAGAGGGUGACCGGCCACACUGGGACUGAGACACGGCCCAGACUCCUACGGGAGGCAGCAGUGGGGAAUAUUGCACAAUGGGCGCAAGCCUGAUGCAGCAACGCCGCGUGAGGGAUGACGGCCUUCGGGUUGUAAACCUCUUUUAGUAGGGAAGAAGCGAAAGUGACGGUACCUGCAGAAAAAGCACCGGCUAACUACGUGCCAGCAGCCGCGGUAAUACGUAGGGUGCAAGCGUUGUCCGGAAUUAUUGGGCGUAAAGAGCUCGUAGGCGGCUUGUCGCGUCUGCUGUGAAAACCCGAGGCUCAACCUCGGGCCUGCAGUGGGUACGGGCAAGCUAGAGUGCGGUAGGGGAGAUUGGAACUCCUGGUGUAGCGGUGGAAUGCGCAGAUAUCAGGAAGAACACCGAUGGCGAAGGCAGAUCUCUGGGCCGUUACUGACGCUGAGGAGCGAAAGCGUGGGGA